CAGUAGCCGCGGUAAUACGAAGGGGGCUAGCGUUGUUCGGAUUUACUGGGCGUAAAGGGCUCGCAGGCGGUUUCUUAAGUCUGAUGUGAAAGCCCCCGGCUCAACCGGGGAGGGUCAUUGGAAACUGGGAAACUUGAGUGCAGAAGAGGAGAGUGGAAUUCCACGUGUAGCGGUGAAAUGCGUAGAGAUGUGGAGGAACACCAGUGGCGAAGGCGACUCUCUGGUCUGUAACUGACGCUGAGGAGCGAAAGCGUGGGGAGCGAACAGGAUUAGAUACCCCUGUAGUCCCUGUCUCUUAUAC
rnacentral:rRNA from 1 species